UGAAGAAUCUUGGGCAAUGGAAGAAAUUCUGACCCAGUGAGAAUACAUGCAUGAUGAAUGCGCACAGUUUUCUGUAAAGUGCUUUCGGUGAUGAAGAGAAUGAUCGUAGUCAUAGUAAGAAGCGCUGGCCAACUCCGUGCCAGCAGCCGCGGUAAUACGGAGAGCGCGGGCGUUAUUCGUUUUGAUUGGGUGUAAAGGGUACGUAGGUUGCUGUUGAUAAUUUCUGACCGAAAUCGCUGAGUGUUCCUAAGCGGUGGUCAUUUAAAGAUUCAGCUAGUGUUGAGGAUAGGUCGGGGCAAUUUCCUGUGUAGGGGUAGAAUCCUACCAUAUAGGAACGAACGCCAGAUUGCGAAGGCGCCUCUCUCGCCUCAACAGACGCUAAGGUACGGAAGCUUAGGGAGCAAACA
rnacentral:rRNA from 1 species